rnacentral:rRNA from 1 species
UACGAGGGGGGCGAGCGUUGUUCGGAAUUAUUGGGCGUAAAGGGAGUGUAGGCGGCUAGGAAAGUCUUCUGUGAAAUCUACGGGCUCAGCCUGUAACGUGCAGAGGAAACUAUCUGGCUAGAGUGUCGGAGAGGAUAGGGGAAUACCCGGUGUAGAGGUGAAAUUCGUAGAGAUCGGGUGGAACACCAGUGGCGAAGGCGCCUGUCUGGCUGACAACUGACGCUGAGACUCGAAAGCAUGGGGAGCAAACAGG